rnacentral:sRNA from 1 species
AGCGAUAUUUUAGUCGGAGAGGUUGAAGCCGCAAGGCUUACCCCGAUUUGACUAUUUUAUAGCGGCAGACGGGUGCGUAACACGUGAGUAAUCUACCUCUUCCCGCAUUUGCGGGAUCCCGCUUCGGCGGGGAAAUCGGGAAUAGCCUCGCGAAAGUAAGGAUAAUGCCCGAUGUGUCCCGUUUAUCAUAAGAUAGACGGGGUAAAGUUACCCCUGUGAAAGCAGGGGCGAUGUUUAGAGAUGAGCUCGCGUACUAUCAGCUAGUUGGUAGGGUAAUGGCCUACCAAGGCUUUUGACGGUUAGCUGGCCUGAGAGGGUGGUCAGCCACACGGGGACUGAGACACUGCCCCGACUCCUACGGGAGGCAGCAGUGGG